rnacentral:rRNA from 1 species
UGGGGAAUAUUGCACAAUGGGCGCAAGCCUGAUGCAGCCAUGCCGCGUGUAUGAAGAAGGCCUUCGGGUUGUAAAGUACUUUCAGCGGGGAGGAAGGCGAUAAGGUUAAUAACCUUGUCGAUUGACGUUACCCGCAGAAGAAGCACCGGCUAACUCCGUGCCAGCAGCCGCGGUAAUACGGAGGGGGCAAGCGUUAAUCGGAAUUACUGGGCGUAAAGCGCACGCAGGCGGUCUGUCAAGUCGGAUGUGAAAUCCCCGGGCUCAACCUGGGAACUGCAUUCGAAACUGGCAGGCUAGAGUCUUGUAGAGGGGGGUAGAAUUCCAGGUGUAGCGGUGAAAUGCGUAGAGAUCUGGAGGAAUACCGGUGGCGAAGGCGG